rnacentral:rRNA from 1 species
GAUGAACGCUAGCUACAGGCUUAACACAUGCAAGUCGAGGGGAAACGUUGAGAGAGCUUGCCCUCUUAGGCGUCGACCGGCGCACGGGUGAGUAACGCGUAUCCAACCUACACAUCACAGGGGGCUAACCUUGCGAAAGUAAGACUAAUACUCCAUGGCAUUUUCUGGUGGUACCAUUGUAGGAUUAGAGAUUUCUUGGUAAUGGAUGGGGAUGCGUCUGAUUGGCUUGUUGGCGGGGUAUCGGCACUCCAAGGCAACGAUCAGUAGGGGUGCUGAGAGGGAGGUCCCCCAGAUUGGAACCGAGACACAGUCCACACGCGUACGCGAGGCAGCAGUGAGUAAUAUAAGGCAAUGAGCGAGAGCGUGAACCAGCCAAGUAGCGUGCAAGAUGACGGGGAUAUGAGUUGUAAGCUACUUUGGUAGGAGAAUAGAGUGAGCUACGGGGAGUUUAUUGCAGGUACCCAAUGAAUAAGGACCGGCUAACUCCGUG